rnacentral:rRNA from 1 species
GACGAACGCUGGCGGCGUGCUUAACACAUGCAAGUCGAACGGAAAGGCCCUGCUUGCAGGGUACUCGAGUGGCGAACGGGUGAGUAACACGUGGGUGAUCUGCCCUGCACUUCGGGAUAAGCUUGGGAAACUGGGUCUAAUACCGGAUAGGAACCAUCUUUAGUGUGGUGGUUGGAAAGUUUUUUCGGUGUAGGAUGAGCUCGCGGCCUAUCAGCUUGUUGGUGGGGUAAUGGCCUACCAAGGCGGCGACGGGUAGCCGGCCUGAGAGGGUGUACGGCCACAUUGGGACUGAGAUACGGCCCAGACUCCUACGGGAGGCAGCAGUGGGGAAUAUUGCACAAUGGGCGCAAGCCUGAUGCAGCGACGCCGCGUGGGGGAUGAAGGCCUUCGGGUUGUAAACUCCUUUCGCUAGGGACGAAGCUUUGUUGUGACGGUACCUAGAUAAGAAGCACCGGCUAACUACGU